rnacentral:rRNA from 1 species
UACAGAGGGUGCAAGCGUUGUUCGGAAUUAUUGGGCGUAAAGGGCGCGUAGGCGGUGCGGUAAGUCUUUUGUGAAAUCUCCGGGCUCAACUCGGAGUCUGCAGGAGAAACUGCCGUGCUGGAGUAUGGGAGAGGUGAGUGGAAUUCCCGGUGUAGCGGUGAAAUGCGUAGAUAUCGUUUGGAACGCCAAUGGUGAAAACAGGUUGCUGGGAGUGUGCUGACGCUGAGACACGAAAGCCAGGGGAGCAAACGGG